UGACUUCAGGAGUGCUGCACUAAUUUACUAGCUGUUGUGGAACUGGUCCUUAAUUUUUAAGAGUCAAACAAUUAGUAUAAAUUGGGUGAAAGUCUUUAAAACAGCAGAACAGCAAGAAGAUCAUAGUAAACAAAGAAAACUCAAGAAACAGAUGCAGGUGACCACAGAAAGCAGAAGGAUGUGAAGCUUCACCUUGAUCUUGCAAGAGAGGGAUGACAGGAGCCUGAGCAGACAGAAGGUGGUAAGUUUUUGUAUUAAGUCACCUUUAACAAUACACAUAAGGUA
rnacentral:lncRNA from 1 species